AUUCAGUGGUCUAAUAAUUUUGGCCUGGUUCCAAUUUUCCUGCAGAUCUUGAGAUAGAAAAUAAUAUCUGCAGAAGAUAUUAGAACCAAUCACAAAUCAGCAUACAUUGGUGUAAUCAAAUGGGCCCUUUCAAAAAGAUAAGAUGAACAUAAGAGGAACAUUUGUAAUGGGAAAGUUACGACGGCUUUGUUAAUGGAGACAUACUCUAAAGAUCUACAAGUAAGCUGGAACCAGGCCAAAAUUGUUAGACCAUUGAAUGCACUGAAUCAAGCCAUAGCAUCUGAAGUGCUGGAGGUGGUUACAAGGCAGAAGAUUGAAAGCAUCUUAAAUGAGAGGCCCGCUCGGGGACUCUCCUCAGCAUGGAUAUACACUAUAAAGAACAACAUGCUCCCCAC
rnacentral:lncRNA from 1 species